UGGUCAUUCCUACCCAGCACUGGCCACCCAACCCCAGUCUCUGUAGCCUGUGUUGCUCUAAGCUCAGUUCCCCCUUGGACAGAGGAAAUGCAAGCUGGAGCCGGGCAAGGAUGAAAAGUAAGCCCAGCUGGCUUCCUUCUUUGAAGUGAGAGAACUUUCUGUCUUCGGAUGACAAGAGAACAUUUUUGCGCUUUGCUUUCUGUGGAAUUGGCAUGCCAACUGAAUUUCGAGUGAUCGUUUCAGAGGUGCCCAUUGCUGGGGUUCCAGACACAUGAGCACAAUCAUUAUAUAUGGCUGCUCCGGGUCUUAGUUGCAGCAUGCGUGUGAGAUCUGGUUCCCCGACCAGGGAUUGAACCCAGACCCCCUGCAUUGGGAGCAUGGAGCCUUACCUACUGGACCAUCAGGAAGUCCCGUCUCCUUACUAACAUAUUGGAGGAGGGGCGCCGAGGACCAGGGUCCGCCUUGGGGAAGCCCCACCCUGGCCGCUGGACCCCCUGGCUGCAGCUCUGCGAAGAAGCUCAAAGGCAGCCUUUUGUUUGGAGGCCCCCGGGCAUGGAUCGGUCACACGUGGUUCCUGUGAGGGACCACAUGCGUGUCGUUCACGUGCACUGUGAUGGAAGACCCCACUGGCCUGGAUCCUUCUUUGGCUUCAAGAGGAGGAUUUUUAUCUCUUGGGGUUGGGCCAGAGUGAAGUCCACGGGACUUCUGGAGACGAUCCCAGGCUGACGCUCAGCCCUGACAACAUACGCUCUGGUUUCGGAUCCAGGCUGAGAACUCCUGAUACCGUACAGACCCCUGCUCAGUGGACUGCUGUCUUAUCACAGCAGCACAGUUCUGGUGCUAACUCGAGGGGGAGAAGAGCAGUGUGUGGGGGUGCUUUCUCCCCACCCCCUGCAGCGGUGAUCAACACUGGGGAGGUGGACGGUCCAUCCUUUGAUAUUUUUUGCUUAAGAAACAGUUUCACCUGAAAAGGUGCGUGAGGACCAUGGCUCUCCAGCUCCUUCUCAAGUCUCCACCCAGUUCUGUCCGUUCUGUAUAGACGCCCAUCGGCCUGGGCUGAGGGCCGUCACUUCUGGAGCCUUGAAGCCACUUGCCUGGCCCACUGGCUCAACGGAAGUGACAUUUCUCCCAUCAAGAACUGGCUCGACCAGGCUCCCUUAAACACACAUUUGGGAGAUGAGCCUUUUUAAUGCCACCCCCUUAGCUGGAGUGGAAGACGGACCCCUUAUUUUUCCAUUCUGGCUCAUCAGUGAGCUGUCGUCACUCUGUCAGUGGUUCCCCACUAAAUACGGCCAGGAAUCCAGGGAGGGGAUGCUUUCUGGCUCCCAUCACGCUUUUUCUUAGCAAUUAAUCAUCAUAAGAGUCACCGUAUAUACGGAGCCCAGGCUUUGUUCCUACACAUCAUCUCACUUAAGACAUUCAACCACUCUGAAGAGGUUAAGUAAUAAUAUGCCUAUUUUGCAGAUAAGGAAGCAAGAGUCAGGGAGAUUAUCUAACAGAGCUAGUAAGUGGUGGAAACCCGGAUGUGAUCAUUGACCUCUAGACUCCAGAAACCUCUGCCCUUUUUUAUCACAUCGGGGAGAACCUCCUUCAUCCGGUUCCUUGGUGGUGACGGUGGCGUUUAAGCAGGAGUGGGGGUGACGGUUCAGCCACAGCUGCUGAGCCGGGGAAGGGGAAGGGUCACCGUGUCCCCUCACGUUGCAGAAGCAGGAUGAGGGAUGUGCGAGGGGUGGGUACUUACGCCUUGCCAGAACUCUUCUCAGGAUUGUCUGCAACUCAAAGGCAGAGAUCUCUGCAUCCUGCGGAGAUGCAACCAGAGCGUCAUUAUUGGCUCCCUUGGGGCUGCGUGAAGCGCGGAGCAGCGGACGUGUAACGGGUGUCCACUCUGGCUGAGCCCGUGAGGUGCAUUAGAGCUGGGGCGGGGAGGGGUCUGUGGGCGUGCAUUUCUAACAAGUCCCCGGGAUACGCUGCUGCCACCACCCCCCAGGCCGCACAAGGAGCACAGCCACAGCCCAAGUUUCUGAUAGUGUUUUAAUGCACAGCGUGCUCCAGGCAGAGUUCGUUCGCCAUUGCUCUGCUGUAGAGAAUAUGAAGA